rnacentral:snRNA from 1 species
AUCUUUGUGCAGUGGCAAUAUCAUAGCCAAUGAGGUUUAUCCAAAGUGUGAUUAUUGCUAAUUGAAAAAUGCAGAAGUGUUCGUUUUUCCACACGGCUUCAUCAACAUGUUAUUGUUUUAAUUCUUGAAGAUAGCCACUCUUUCUGAAAAGGAAUCUCUGUGUUGGUUUAAUUUGCAUUCC